ACAAAGCACCAUUAAAGAUCUUGCAGUAACGUUUAGCAGUGUCGUGAAGUGCUGGAGCUUGGAAAAGAGCUUCUUGGGACCUUCCCAUGUAACAAAGGGCAACGCUGCUGGCUGCAACUGGGAAGAAACUGAGCCUUAACAUCACUGAGAAGACUGGUACCUAUCUCAGCCUUAAGCCACGCUGGGCUUCAUGGAAUUCCCUGCCUGUUGAUCCCAGUGUUGGCAACUGAUGCUUAAAUGAAUCAUCUGAAGAAUUAAAGAUCAGAUAUAUAAUUGUUACUCCAACAUAUCUAUUUCGGUUGAGCGUCAGCUGCCAUUUCCAUCGUAAGUCCCAUUUUCAUGGCUAUAAAAUUUGAUGUUUUCCAUUUUAUGGGGCUUGAACUUUGCUUAGUACUCUUAACAAAUAAGCAUGGCAAUUCAAAGUUAAACCACUGUGUAGUCAGAGCUGGUUCAAAAAGUGUCA